rnacentral:rRNA from 1 species
GAUGAACGCUGGCGGCGUGCUUAACACAUGCAAGUCGAACGGAAAGGCCCCUGCUUGCCGGGGUACUCGAGUGGCGAACGGGUGAGUAACACGUGGGUGAUCUGCCCUGCACUUCGGGAUAAGCCUGGGAAACUGGGUCUAAUACCGGAUAGGACGAUGGUUUGGAUGCUAUUGUGGAAAGUUUUUCGGUGUGGGAUGAGCUCGCGGCCUAUCAGCUUGUUGGUGGGGUAAUGGCCUACCAAGGCGUCGACGGGUAGCCGGCCUGAGAGGGUGUGCGGCCACAUUGGGACUGAGAUACGGCCCAGACUCCAACGGGAGGCAGCGGUGGAGAAUAUUACACAAUGGGCGCAAGCCAGAUGCAGCGACGCCGCGUGGGGGAUGACGGCCUUCGGGUUGUAAACUCCUUUCGCUAGAGACGAAGCGCAAGUGACGGUACCUGGAGAAGAAGCACCGGCUAACUACGUG